rnacentral:rRNA from 1 species
GGCGUCAGGACGAACGCUGGCGGCGUGCUUAACACAUGCAAGUCGAACGGACGAGCACCCUUCGGGGUGUAAGUUAGUGGCGGACGGGUGAGUAACGCGUGAGUAACCUGCCUUGGAGUGGGGGAUAACACAGGGAAACUUGUGCUAAUACCGCAUAAGAUCAUAGGGUGGCAUCAUCUAGUGAUCAAAGAUUUAUUGCUCCAAGAUGGGCUCGCGUCCGAUUAGAUAGUUGGUGAGGUAAAGGCCCACCAAGUCAACGAUCGGUAGCCGGACUGAGAGGUUGGCCGGCCACAUUGGGACUGAGACACGGCCCAGACUCCUACGGGAGGCAGCAGUGGGGAAUAUUAGGCAACGGGGGAAAAACCCCCUGACCUAGCGACGCCGCGUGAAGGAUGAAGGUUUUCGGAUUGUAAACUUCUUUGGCAGAGGACGAUAAUGACGGUACUCUGAGAACAAGCCACGGCUAACUACGUGCCAGCCGCCGC